rnacentral:rRNA from 1 species
GGGCCCGCACAAGCAGUGGAGCAUGUGGUUUAAUUCGAUGCAACGCGAAGAACCUUACCAGCCCUUGACAUCCUCGGAACGACCUAGAGAUAGGUUGGUGCCUUCGGGAGCCGAGAGACAGGUGUUGCAUGGCUGUCGUCAGCUCGUGUCGUGAGAUGUUGGGUUAAGUCCCGUAACGAGCGCAACCCUCGUCCCUAUUUGCCAGCACGUAAUGGUGGGAACUCAUGGGAUACUGCCGGGGUCAACUCGGAGGAAGGUGGGGAUGACGUCAAAUCAUCAUGCCCCUUAUGUCUUGGGCUUCACGCAUGCUACAAUGGCCGGUACAGAGGGCUGCAAUACCGCAAGGUGGAGCGAAUCCCAAAAAGCCGGUCUCAGUUCGGAUUGAGGUCUGCAACUCGACCUCAUG